rnacentral:lncRNA from 10 species
CAGCUAUUCUCAAGAUGGCUUCUGAAUUUGCCAUAAUGGAAAGAUACAUUUAAUGCUGCAAUUUUAAAGUUAUAGCCAACCAUUUAAAGCCUUUCAGCUAUGCUUUAUGGAGGCCAGGCACUGUUUAUCAGCUGCUAAUGUCAUUUUUGGUCAAACUGGAAAGAUCUCAGCCACAGAAGACACUCCUGAAGCUGAAGGAGAAGUGCCAGAGCUUUAUCAUCAAAGAAAGGGGGAAAUAGCAAGGUGCUGGAUCAAAUACUGUUUGACUCUCAUGCAGAAUGCCCAACUCUCCAUGCAGAGGCUGCGUGAGCCGAGAUUGGACCACUGCACUCCAGCCUGGGCAACAGAGCGAGACUCCAUCUCUAAAUAAAUAAAUAAAUAAAAUAAAUCUUACUCA